rnacentral:rRNA from 1 species
UACGGGGGGGGCAAGCGUUGUUCGGAAUUACUGGGCGUAAAGGGCUCGUAGGCGGCCAACUAAGUCAGACGUGAAAUCCCUCGGCUUAACCGGGGAACUGCGUCUGAUACUGGUUGGCUUGAAUCCGGGAGAGGGAUGUGGAAUUCCAGGUGUAGCGGUGAAAUGCGUAGAUAUCUGGAGGAACACCGGUGGCGAAGGCGGCGUUCUGGACUGCAACUGACACUGAGGAACGAAAGCCAGGGGAGCAAACGGG